ACGGAAGGCAGCAGUAGGGAAUAUUGCACAAUGGGGGAAACCCUGAUGCAGUAACGCCACGUGUGGGAAGAAGCAUUUCGGUGUGUAAACCACUGUCGUGAGGGAAUAAGGCAUUGUUUCGGCGAUGUUGAGUGUACCUCGAAAGGAAGCACCGGCAAACUUCGUGCCAGCAGCCGCGGUAAUACGAGGGGUGCAAGCGUUGUUCGGAAUCACUGGGCGUAAAGGGAGCGCAGGCGGAGAUGCAAGCGGACUGUACAAUCCCGGGGCCCAACCCCGGACCUGCAGUCCGGACUGCACCUCUUGGAUAGUUCAGGGGCAAGCGGAAUGCCUGGUGUAGCGGUGGAAUGCGUAGAGAUCAGGAAGAACACCGAUGGCGAAGGCAGCUUGCUGGGGACUUAUCGACGCUCAUGCUCGAAAGUGCGGGUAGCAAACAGGAUUAGAUACCCUGGUA
rnacentral:rRNA from 1 species